CAGCCCUGUAGGAGACACCUCCAGAGAAAGUAACAGCUCUCAAUUGAUUAGCUGAGGAAGACACCAGACAAAUGAGUUACACUGUUUUGGACUCCCCAACACAAUCCAGCCACCGGCUGAAUGCCACCAAAUUACCUUCUAGUUAAAGGUUUAUGGAGCAAACGAAUCACCUAUUCAAUAUCUGCUUGAAUUUCUGACUCAAAAUACAUCAGAAGCCUCAGGGGCUGGAUCCUGACAUGAACCAGACACCUCCAGAAUUCUAUCCCAAGCAAAAGAUUAUUUCAAGGCCAGAACUCACUCCCUGCUGGAGACUGACUACAAGAUCCACUGAGAUUGAUUUGUAACCUGAUUGGGCCCACAGUGAUGCUAGCCCCUUCACCAGAUGGAACAAUAAUUCCAGACAAGCCAUCAGAGCAGGUCACACCACUUGACACCUUCUCGCCCCCUUGCCUCUCCUGCAUUCCAAACCCCUCUCUUUAAAAUCCCCAUGUUCCCUCCGUAAACUGGACAGUGCCAAUUGUUGGAAAUAAUUCUGGCACUCUUUUCCUUCUUAGCAUGGAUAAAAAGAUUCACCCUCUUUUUAUCACACCUCACUCUUGUUAUUUUGGCUUCUUUCUACAAGUGGUGAGCAACCGGGCCCCCUUUGCUGGUUAUAGUAUGAACUAUUUUUUUUUUUUAAUCUACAAUAAAAUAAAAUACAUUCAUU
rnacentral:lncRNA from 1 species